GGGUUGUGAGGUUAAGCGACUAAGCGUACACGGUGGAUGCCCUGGCAGUCAGAGGCGAUGAAGGACGUGCUAAUCUGCGAAAAGCGACGGCGAGGUGAUAUGAACCCUUGACCCGUCGAUGUCCGAAUGGGGAAACCCAGUGUGUUUCGACACACUAUCGUUAACUGAAUACAUAGGUUAACGAGGCGAACCGGGGGAACUGAAACAUCUAAGUACCCCGAGGAAAAGAAAUCAACCGAGAUUCCCCCAGUAGCGGCGAGCGAACGGGGAGCAGCCCGGAGUCUGAAUCAGCUUGUGUGUUAGUGGAAGCGUCUGGAAAGUCGCACGGUACAGGGUGACAGUCCCGUACACGAAAGCACACAGGUUGUGAACUCGAAGAGUAGGGCGGGACACGUGGUAUCCUGUCUGAAUAUGGGGGGACCAUCCUCCAAGGCUAAAUACUCCUGACUGACCGAUAGUGAACCAGUACCGUGAGGGAAAGGCGAAAAGAACCCCGGCGAGGGGAGUGAAAAAGAACCUGAAACCGUGUACGUACAAGCAGUGGGAGCACCUUCGUGGUGUGACUGCGUACCUUUUGUAUAAUGGGUCAGCGACUUAUAUUCUGUAGCAAGGUUAACCGUAUAGGGGAGCCGCAGGGAAACCGAGUCUUAACUGGGCGUUAAGUUGCAGGGUAUAGACCCGAAACCCGGUGAUCUAGCCAUGGGCAGGUUGAAGGUUGGGUAACACUAACUGGAGGACCGAACCGACUAAUGUUGAAAAAUUAGCGGAUGACCUGUGGCUGGGGGUGAAAGGCCAAUCAAACCGGGAGAUAGCUGGUUCUCCCCGAAAGCUAUUUAGGUAGCGCCUCGUGAACUCAUCUUCGGGGGUAGAGCACUGUUUCGGCUAGGGGGCCAUCCCGGCUUACCAACCCGAUGCAAACUACGAAUACCGAAGAAUGUUAUCACGGGAGACACACGGCGGGUGCUAACGUCCGUCGUGAAGAGGGAAACAACCCAGACCGCCAGCUAAGGUCCCAAAGUCAUGGUUAAGUGGGAAACGAUGUGGGAAGGCACAGACAGCCAGGAUGUUGGCUUAGAAGCAGCCAUCAUUUAAAGAAAGCGUAAUAGCUCACUGGUCGAGUCGGCCUGCGCGGAAGAUGUAACGGGGCUAAACCAUGCACCGAAGCUGCGGCAGCGACACUAUGUGUUGUUGGGUAGGGGAGCGUUCUGUAAGCCGUUGAAGGUGUGCUGUGAGGCAUGCUGGAGGUAUCAGAAGUGCGAAUGCUGACAUAAGUAACGAUAAAGCGGGUGAAAAGCCCGCUCGCCGGAAGACCAAGGGUUCCUGUCCAACGUUAAUCGGGGCAGGGUGAGUCGACCCCUAAGGCGAGGCCGAAAGGCGUAGUCGAUGGGAAACAGGUUAAUAUUCCUGUACUUGGUGUUACUGCGAAGGGGGGACGGAGAAGGCUAUGUCAGCCGGGCGACGGUUGUCCCGGUUUAAGCGUGUAGGUGUGUGUUCCAGGCAAAUCCGGUUCACUUUAACACUGAGGCGUGAUGACGAGGCACUACGGUGCUGAAGUGAUAAAUGCCCUGCUUCCAGGAAAAGCCUCUAAGCAUCAGGUAACACGAAAUCGUACCCCAAACCGACACAGGUGGUCAGGUAGAGAAUACCAAGGCGCUUGAGAGAACUCGGGUGAAGGAACUAGGCAAAAUGGUGCCGUAACUUCGGGAGAAGGCACGCUGAUAUGUAGGUGAAGUCCCUGCGGACGGAGCUGAAAUCAGUCGAAGAUACCAGCUGGCUGCAACUGUUUAUUAAAAACACAGCACUGUGCAAACACGAAAGUGGACGUAUACGGUGUGACGCCUGCCCGGUGCCGGAAGGUUAAUUGAUGGGGUUAGCGGCAACGCGAAGCUCUUGAUCGAAGCCCCGGUAAACGGCGGCCGUAACUAUAACGGUCCUAAGGUAGCGAAAUUCCUUGUCGGGUAAGUUCCGACCUGCACGAAUGGCGUAAUGAUGGCCAGGCUGUCUCCACCCGAGACUCAGUGAAAUUGAACUCGCUGUGAAGAUGCAGUGUACCCGCGGCAAGACGGAAAGACCCCGUGAACCUUUACUAUAGCUUGACACUGAACACUGGUCCUUGAUGUGUAGGAUAGGUGGGAGGCUUUGAAGCGUGGACGCCAGUCUGCGUGGAGCCGUCCUUGAAAUACCACCCUUUAAUGGCUGGUGUUCUAACGUGGACCCGUGAUCCGGGUUGCGGACAGUGUCUGGUGGGUAGUUUGACUGGGGCGGUCUCCUCCCAAAGAGUAACGGAGGAGCACGAAGGUUAGCUAAUCCUGGUCGGACAUCAGGAGGUUAGUGCAAUGGCAUAAGAUAGCUUGACUGCGAGAGUGACGGCCCGAGCAGGUGCGAAAGCAGGUCAUAGUGAUCCGGUGGUUCUGAAUGGAAGGGCCAUCGCUCAACGGAUAAAAGGUACUCCGGGGAUAACAGGCUGAUACCGCCCAAGAGUUCAUAUCGACGGCGGUGUUUGGCACCUCGAUGUCGGCUCAUCACAUCCUGGGGCUGAAGUAGGUCCCAAGGGUAUGGCUGUUCGCCAUUUAAAGUGGUACGCGAGCUGGGUUUAGAACGUCGUGAGACAGUUCGGUCCCUAUCUGCCGUGGGCGCUGGAGAAUUGAGGGGGGCUGCUCCUAGUACGAGAGGACCGGAGUGGACGCAUCACUGGUGUUCGGGUUGUCAUGCCAAUGGCACUGCCCGGUAGCUAAAUGCGGAAGAGAUAAGUGCUGAAAGCAUCUAAGCACGAAACUUGCCCCGAGAUGAGUUCUCCCUGAGACUAUAAGUCUCCUGAAGGAACGUUGAAGACGACGACGUUGAUAGGCCGGGUGUGUAAGCGCAGCGAUGCGUUGAGCUAACCGGUACUAAUGAACCGUGAGGCUUAACCUUACAACGCCGAAGCUGUU
rnacentral:rRNA from 1 species